rnacentral:tRNA from 1 species
UCCCUGGAGGACUAGUUGUAAGGCCAUGGAGCUCUCACCGCUGCGGCCCAGGUUCGAUUCCUGGCCAUAAAA